GAUGAACGCUGGCGGCGUGCCUAAUACAUGCAAGUCGAGCGAACAGACGAGGAGCUUGCUCCUCUGACGUUAGCGGCGGACGGGUGAGUAACACGUGGAUAACCUACCUAUAAGACUGGGAUAACUUCGGGAAACCGGAGCUAAUACCGUAUAAUAUAUUGAACCGCAUGGUUCAAUAGUGAAAGACGGUUUUGCUGUCACUUCUAGAUGGUUCCGCGCCGCAUUAGCUAGUUGGUAAGGUAACGGCUUACCAAGGCAACGAUGCGUAGCCGACCUGAGAGGGUGAUCGGCCACACUGGAACUGAGACACGGUCCAGACUCCUACGGGAGGCAGCAGUAGGGAAUCUUCCGCAAUGGGCGAAAGCUUGACGGAGCAACGCCGCGUGAGUGAUGAAGGUCUUCGGAUCGUAAAACUCUGUUAUUAGGGAAGAACAAAUGUGUAAGUAACUAUGCACGUCUUGACGGUACCUAAUCAGAAAGCCACGGCUAACUACGUG
rnacentral:rRNA from 1 species